rnacentral:lncRNA from 1 species
UAUUACUUUGUGUCAGUCUGCAGUGCUGAGGAGGGGCUGGCUAUGGGCUCAUUCACCUCUUAGGGGCUAUUUUCACCCCUAAGAGAUGGGGACUCUUCAGUUUUGGCAGUAGCAGCAUGUUUGUUCUCGCUUAAUGUUUAAUAAGAAAACAGCUCCAGCUUGGCCCUCCCAAGGGAUACAUCUCAGGCAGCAAUGUCAUCUUACUGUCUGUGCUCACACUGAAAGCAUCUUGCUACAGAGGCCAGUCAGCCCAGACUCCAGGGCUCCUGUGCAUUAGCUGCACAUCCAGUUCUCCAGCUGCAAGUGGUAGACCAGAAGUGCCCAUGGGAUGCACACCACAGAGUAAACAGACAGAGCCACUGGGGAAGGAAGCAUUGUCUUGAAGGCAGACAUGGACCUGUAGCUCCUGAGUGUUUUCUCUCUCACAUCUCUGAUGAAUCUACUUGCUAAUACCCUUCUAGAUUUAGACCAAAAACUGGGAAGAUCCCUUUAGCCUAAGAGAAAGUAACUUUAAAAAAAAAAAUUGGAUUUUUUCUUAUGUAUUUACAUUUCAAAUGUUAUCCCCUUUCCCCCUCCCCGAGUAAGUGACUCUUACACUUGACUUAUAGAACUCUAUGGAUGUUCAGGUGGGAGGACAAUAAAUUGGGGUUUUCCUGGC